UCCAUAGCUAAAACAAAGAUGGGACACAAUAAAAGGGCUCAUGUUCCCUUGUGUGGGCAUCAAAUGUUUCUAAAAACGACUUAAGAGAUGCCUGCUAUUAAAGCAAAACAGGAGGAUAUAUACUUUAGCCAUGAAAUUAGCGCAUAAUGUUAUCUAGCCAGUUGAACUUGCAUUGCUUUAGGGAAAUAUUAGCACACGUUUUCCACAAGUGGAUGUAGGCAGGAAAGAUUUAUAUUAGACAUCAGGAAUAAUGUCCUGACUUUCAGAAGAGUUGUGAGAAGCCAAAUAGUUUACCAAAGAAGGCUGUGGAAUUUACCUCCUGGAAAUUUUUAGCAGCAGACAUGAGACCCAUAUGUUUGAGACUAUUUCGGAGUCUUUGAAAUGAAUAGAAUGGUCUUAUUAAGAGUUUCCUAGUCCUUUUCUUUUGUAGCUUGCCUGAGAAGAGGUUAGACAUUCAGUCCACAAAGCCAGGCUUCUCUCCGACCUUCCCCUAUACAUUUCCGAAGACAGAGAAGAGGAAAAAGGAGGUAGAGUCUGGUAUGAGGGCACCAGGGAACAUUUCCUUACUUCACAAUUUGGUGAACUGAGUAGAACUGCCUGACAUCACACAGAGGGUAAACUUCUGCCUAGGGCCAUGGAAAAAGGCAAGAAGGUCCCGUGACCAAGAAAUGACCAGCUCCACAGAGGAAAUGCAGGGCCACUCUCCGACUGGACCCCACUGUGCACAAGCCUGCUCAAUGUGAAGAUGACGAGGAUGAAAACCUUUAUGAUGAUCUACUCCUAUUUAUGGGUCUCGCUCUGUCGCUCAGGCUGGAGUACAGUGGUAGGAUCCUAGCUCAUUGCAGCCUUGAACUCCUGGGCACAAGCCAUCCUCCUUCCCAUGCCUUUGCCCCCUAUGACUCCCCAUCCCACCUCAGGGACUACAGGCACACACCAUCACUCCUGGCUAUUUUUAAAUUUUUUGUAGAGACAGUGUCUGCCUUUGUUGCCCAGGCUGGUCUCCAACUCCUGGCUUCAAGCAAUCCUCCCGCCUCAGCCUCCCAAAGUGCUGAGAUUACAGGGAUGAACCACUGUGCCCACCCUGCUUUUCUGAUUUAACAUAAAGAAGCUAUCCUUUCAGGCAAACAUGGAAAGUCACUGCACCUCAAGGGGUUCUCAGCUCAAAGUCCUGUGACACAGUCUGUGUGUUUAUUACAUGGGACUUAUUGUGAUUUGAAACCAUUCUGUUCAGCUACAGUAUUUACUUGCCUGUUUAUCAUCCACCUCCCUCCUCUGAAAUGUCUGUUCCAGGGGAGACGGAGCAGUGCUUGUCUUUUUCACCACAAUCCCCUGGGCUUCGAAUACUUCCUGGAACAUGGUGAGAAGCCCAAUAAAAUAGCCGUUGAGUGACCAGAUGAAUUGCUACAAAUAGGAAAGGUCACAUUUGAUAUCACUAAAGCAUUUACGUUUGAAUACAAUUUUUUCCUUCCCCAAAUGAAAGCUUAACACUCUUCUAAGCUCUCACAAUAAAAAUUUCACCAGCCAGGUCCUUAGUAAUAUUAAUUCCUUAGUCCUAUCACCGUCGUUCUCAGGGCCCGAGGCUGGGCCAAACAUGACUGAGGUUUUCAAAAAAUAUACUUUUAAUAUAAUUUUAAAAUACACUUACUAGGGGAAGGCUCAUAAAAUUCAGCUUCAGCCACAAUCUGGACUAUAGGCUGCCAAGUGCUGCAUAAAUAAAUCAUCAAGUCAUUUUGGCAUCCUGUGGGCCAGAAGGAAUAUCUUCCUCAGUAGAUUUAAAGAGACACAGUUCUGAAAGAAAUAGGAGCAAAGUGAGCCAUUAAAUAUGUACUCUCUUAUGAUAUUCCGGACCUUGGACAGAUUCCUUGAAGUGGCAAUUGUCCAUUUUACCAAGGGCAGAUUCUUUUUUUCCUCUUUCAUUGGAAUCCAUUGAGGAGUUGAAAGAAUUCAUCCCAAUAUCCACAACAAAUGCCCCUACCCGCUUUCAAGUGUACCAAUAGUUGCAAAGAAAAAAAAAUACAAAAAUACAGCAGUCAGAAGAUCGGGUUAUGCGGGCAGCUUGUAACUGUGUAUGUGCAGCAUGGAUUCAGGUAAGUCAGAGGCCAUGCUCAGCUGAACAAAGGAAAUCCCCCAAAACAGUGGCCAGUGGCCAGUGAGGUGCAGGAGACCAGAGGGGCUGCUUGGUAGAGUCUGCAUUGAUGGCCCAGGCUGAGUGUCCAGACUAGAGCUCACCUGUGCAUCACACACACAAACACACACACACACACACACACACACACACACACACACACACACACACACUGCUUCCCUUGUCAAGUUUUCCUGGCUAAUUUAAAUCUAAAUCAGUCUGCUCACUGGCCUUUGUAAACUUGCUAGAAUGAAGAACAUGGAAAAAAAAAUGAUAGAUAUAGGUCCGGUGGAUGCAGAAGCCAGGCCAGAAAUCUGAAUCCUCCUGACCUGCAGCUCUGAGGUUUGCAGAAAGCCCUUUUUCAACAUGGUUCCUGAAAAGUGACUGUGUCACAGUACGUGAGGGCUACGGGGGGUAAAAAUUGUAGUAUGUCUUUUCCAAACUAUUGAUUAAAAUACAGCCCCAUUGAUGUACAAAGCUCAACCGAUUCAGAGGAAAGCUGCGAGAUAUGUGAUGUAUGAGGUACCUGUAGGAACACACAUUCAGACACAGAAGUACCAGCGGGCCCUCUUGUACCGCCUCAUGCUCUCACACACAAGCACAAGCACACAUGCGUGCAUGCACGCACACACACCAACCCCCUUCUUGACGGCAUCCCAUUUUUUGCUGCCUCAUCUUUCAUGUAACCAUGACUAAAAAAUAAAAACUGUAUACAGUUCCUUUUGUGUGUUGCAUUUACUAAAACCCAGGCCAAUUUGGCUCUUACUCCCAAUAAGAAAUUUCUUAUCUGCUCUCUAUCUGGAUCUGUCUUAGUCAGUAGCUGAUAGACCCUCUUUGGGUUAUUAACCAGUUAGUUUCUUCCAGAAAAGAGGUCAUUAGCAUCUAACAUUACUCAGGGGUGUCAGGAGAUGCAGGUAUCAGAUCCUCUCAUCCUGGUUUAUCUUUAAUUUAAUCUCUAGAUUUUUCAGCUCUAGCUGUCAGCUGGCUUCCACUUAAUAACACAUUUUUAUCUGUUGUUGGUGUUUUUUUUUUUUUUUAACAACUCAAUAACCGAUAUAAUGAUGACAGAACUGACGAAUUCUGCAUUAAUGGAUUUCCUUCCCGCAUCUAGGCUCCGAGCUGCCAAACGCUGCUAGAAAUGCUAAAAUAGGUUCCAGGCAGUUACAGGUUAAGGAUCAUUUGCAUAAAUUAGCAAGUUUUGCAAAUGAAUUCAUCUACUGAGAAGUAAGACACGGGACACUGCAUUUUAAUAAUUGACAUUCCACAUGAAAUGCAAUGUUCUUGAGGAGGAAAUUGAGCUCCAGGUUGCUAUUAGAACCAGCGGACCAGCACGAGUGGAAAGAAAUGCCAUCCCCCAUUAUGUGAGCUACUGCUCCUGCAUAACAACUACCCCAUUCUGAUGGACUCCUUUUAAUAAAAGUAUUAGUGUGCGCUCACCGAGAGGGAGAAUAGAGAGGAAUCUACUCAUCAGCACUAUCAAACAGGAAAUGAAAAUAAAGAGUUCUUCAGCAUACCACCUUAAUGUGCCACCAGCAACUCUGCAUUCUCUUUCUAAAGUCAUCUUUCAUUUUCAGCUUGAUUUGGCAGCCACUCCCCACCCUACCUCCACCCUCUUCCUUUUCAGUUUUCUGAAACACUCAGGAGAUUAUUUACAUAUAUACAGAAAGUAAGUAAAAGUUUUAAAUUGCCCAAUUUGGAUGUUGUCUCCCAUAAUGUUGGUUAAGUUACAAAUAAAGAUAAGUGGGCCAUUUUGCUGCCUCCUCCUGGCCUAAUUUGUUUAAGGACAUGCCACAUUGCAAAUAUUAGUGAGAAUGCCAAAUGAAUGCCUUUCCUAAGGUAUUAGUCAGUCAAAAUCAGGGUAUUCAGCAUGUCGGAAGUACAAACUGCUCACACAUGCAAUGUAAGCUGGAAACAAGUCCAUCCGUAAUAGUGUUUCCUGGCAUAAUUUAUAAUUAACAUAAAAUGAAUUAAAUCACUCACUCCAUAGACUUUUUUCCAAGUUCAUGUAGAGUAAGUGUGUCAUAUCAAUUAAUUUUCAGUGAACUGCGGCAGCCAAUAAAAUUUCUCCCAGACACUGGUAAUAAUCCAAGAUAUUGAUGGAAGAGGUAUUAUCAUUAAUAUGAGUAUAAGCCUCAAAUCACGUACAGGGAACAGGCAGAAAGAGUUCCUUUCUUGGAAAGGGAAUGUGAUUCUUGCUAGCUGCCUGUUAUUCUUUCCAAUUUGUUAGGCUUUCUGUCAGUUCUCACUUUUCACACUGAUAGCCUUUUAAUUUUGCCUACAUAACUAAAUUCCUCUAGUGCAGCUGUCUGUUUUUGUGGGCUAUCUAAUCUGAAAAAGUUAAUAUACAUGAACAAAUUAAACAGAUUCAUAUAGGAAGAACAGAUAUAUUGCCCAUUUAGUUGAGACAUUUUCAAUGGCUUUCCUACGUGUUCACAACCACAAAUAAUUGAUAAAUAAAAAAUUAAUGCAACCGAUCUUUGGUUUGUAGAAUUCAAAUAGGCAUCUUAACUGAUAUUUUGGGGGAGGUGUUUGCUUGUUUUCUACUGAGUUAACCACCUUUUUCUGGCACUAUGUAAACAAAGCCCAAGUGCCUCACAUUUCUUUGUUGAUAAUAAAUGAUUUUACAAAGAAACCAACUGCCAUUCAUUUGAUCUUGUUAAGUGAUACGUCGCUGAUUUCUCUAGCUUUUUCUCAACAAUAACACC
rnacentral:lncRNA from 1 species